rnacentral:tRNA from 1 species
GGACCCUUGGUGUAGCCCGGUUAACACGUCUCCCUGUCACGGAGAAGAUCAGGGGUUCAAAUCCCCUAGGGUCCG